rnacentral:rRNA from 1 species
UACGUAGGGGGCAAGCGUUGUCCGGAAUUAUUGUGCGUAAAGAGCGCGUAGGCGGUCCGAUAAGUCGGCUGUGAAAGUCCAGGGCUCAACCCUGGAAAGCCGGCCGAUACUGUCGGACUAGAGUCCGGAAGAGGCAAGUGGAAUUCCCGGUGUAGCGGUGAAAUGCGCAGAUAUCAGGAGGAACACCGAUGGCGAAGGCAGGUCUCUGGGCCGCUACUGACGCUGAGAAGCGAAAGCAUGGGGAGCGAACAGG